GACGUAGGGGGCGAGCGUUGUCCGGAUUCAUUGGGCGUAAAGGGUGCGUAGGCGGCGCGGUAAGUCGGGUGUGAAAUCUCGGAGCUUAACUCCGAAACUGCAUUCGAUACUGCCGUGCUCGAGGACUGGAGAGGAGACUGGAAUUUACGGUGUAGCGGUGAAAUGCGUAGAUAUCGUAAGGAAGACCAGUGGCGAAGGCGGGUCUCUGGACAGUUCCUGACGCUGAGGCACGAAGGUCAGGGGAGCAAACGGG
rnacentral:rRNA from 1 species